rnacentral:rRNA from 1 species
CUACGUAGGGGGCGAGCGUUAUCCGGAUUUAUUGGGCGUAAAGCGUGUGUAGGCGGUUUGUUAAGUUUAAGAUUAAAGCCCGAGGCUUAACCUCGGUUCGUCUUAAAAACUGGCAGACUUGAGUGCAGUAGAGGCAAGUGGAAUUUCUAGUGUAGCGGUUAAAUGCGUAGAUAUUAGAAGGAACACCAGUGGCGAAGGCGGCUUGCUGGGCUGUUACUGACGCUGAGACACGAAAGCGUGGGGAGCAAAUAGGAUUAGAUACCCUAGUAGUCCACGCCGUAAACGAUGAGUACUAAGUGUCGGGUAACCGGUGCUGAAGUUAACACAUUAAGUACUCCGCCUGAGUAGUACGGUCGCAAGGCUGAAACUCAAAUGAAUUGACGGGG